rnacentral:misc_RNA from 1 species
CACAAUAACAAUACGAAGGCCGUUCGCGGCUGGACUAUUUUAUUACCCUUGUCUUUUGCGCACUUGUUGUUUCCUGGGCGGGUUCGCUCGCCACCAGGACCACCAUAUAAACUUUUUUUAUGCAGUUGCAAUCAGCGUCAGUAUAACAAAUGUAAAUCAUUUA